GACGAGGGGUCCAAGCGUUGUUCGGAAUCAUUGGGCGUAAAGCGGGUGUAGGCGGCUCUAUAAGUCAGGAGUGAAAGCCCCGAGCUUAACUUGGGAAGUGCUUUUGAUACUGCAGAGCUUGAAUGUGGGAGAGGUUAGUGGAAUUCCUGGUGUAGUGGUGAAAUGCGUAGAGAUCCGGAGGAACCCCAGAGGCGAAGGCGGCGCUCUGGCUCGCAACUGACGCUCAGACACGACAGCAUGGGGAGCGAACGGG
rnacentral:rRNA from 1 species